CCCUUAGAUGUUCUGGGCCGCACGCGCGCUACACUGAUGCAUUCAACGAGCCUAUCCUUGACCGACAGGUCCGGGUAAUCAUUGAAUCUGCAUCGUGACGGGGAUAGAUUAUUGCAAUUAUUAAUCUUCAACGAGGAAUGCCUAGUAGGCGCAAGUCAUCAGCUUGCGUCGAUUACGUCCCUGCCCUUUGUACACACCGCCCGUCGCUCCUACCGAUUGGGUGUGCUGGUGAAAUGUUCGGAUCGGCCGUUUGUCGCGGUUUCCGCGUCAUGUGGCUGAGAAGUUCAUUAAACCCUCCCACCUAGAGGAAGGAGAAGUCGUAACA
rnacentral:rRNA from 1 species